CUAGCACUAACUAGCUAAUGUUAGGUAACUAGCGCUCUGAUAUGCACUGUUGAUGUUAUAAUUUAGGCAUACGUUUUUCCAUAUUGUUUGAGUUGAAAACUGCCCAUUUAGCGUGCUCCUAUUGUGGAUGUAACAUGUUCUAGCUCAACGUAACUCGCUAACAUUAGCCGUAACCAAACGUCAUCAUCACAGGGAUGCGUGGCAGCCAUUUUCAUGUUCGUUAACGUUAGCCCGCAUUCACGCUGUCAGGUCACAAAGCCCUUGCACCCCCCCCAUGCUUUUUGCUUUCAUCAAAUUCAGCAUACCAGAGGCAAGACAGUCUGACAUCAAAGUGUAUGACCAGUCUCACACAGAAAUUGACAGAGGUGUUUGAAGAGAUUGCAAAGGAGUCACCUGGCACCUUCUGGAUCAUGAAGGACUUGCCUCUCAAUUAUCAUCGUCAUCCUCUGUAAGAUCUGAUGACACUAUAAUUCUGAAUUUCACUGUGUGUGACCAUCAUGAAGAAGCAGCCACUGGUGAAGGGAGCCAACCCAAAAGACAGUGCUGGAUAAACUGAGGCUAAAGUGGUAUUUGGUAGAAACUACUGUUUGGUGUAAUCUGUAUGUUUGUUUCAUAUUAUGGGAUUGGGGAGUGUUCUUGAGCUAAUUCUUUUCAAUUUUUACUAUUAAAAAAAUAAAUAAAAUCUUAUACACUGCUCAAAAAAAUAAAGGGAACACUUAAACAACACAAUGUAACUCCAAGUCAAUCACACUUCUGUGAAAUCAAACUGUCCACUUAGGAAGCAACACUGAUUGACAAUAAAUUUCACAUGCUGUUGUGCAAAUGGAAUAGACAAAAGGUGGAAAUUAUAGGCAAUUAGCAACACACCCCCAAUAAAGGAGUGAUUCUGCAGGUGGUGACCACAGACCACUUCUCAGUUCCUAUGCUUCCUGGCUGAUGUUUUGGUCACUUUUGAAUGCUGGCGGUGCUUUCACUCUGGUGGUAGCAUGAGACGGAGUCUACAACCCACACAAGUGGCUCAGGUAGUGCAGCUCAUCCAGGAUGGCACAUCAAUGUGAGCUGUGG